rnacentral:lncRNA from 1 species
CCAUUGUACUCUGACAGGAAAAGGCAAUUCCUUUCUAGCACUCUUCAGCAACAUCAGUGCGAGAACUUAAGGGCAUGAAGAACUUAAAGGCAAGCUGAAGAUACAAAUGAACGUCCAGAACAAAAGAGUAUUCACUACACUGUGUCUAUGGGCUGAGGAGAGGGCUCAGUGUGUGAAGGUGCUUGCUGCCAAGCCUGACAACUGGAGUUCAAUCCCUGGAACCUGCGUCAUUGAAGGAGAGAGCCAACUUCCACAAGUUGUGUACUCUGACCUUCAUACAGGCAACUGUACCACAUGCGUGCCCACAGGCACACAGAGACACACUUGGCAAAAGAAAGAGCGCUGUGUACGUUUCUCAUCACCCUGCCGCACGUGCUUGAGUUCAGGAUCAUGUUCACAGCUCACAUGUUGUUCUGGCAGCUUGCGUGCAUUCCUCCCUGCUUCCAUCCCUUAAAGGAGCCAGACGCAGCAGAGUGGAACCGCAACUGUCACGCUGGCAGCAGGUGACGGAUGUAACGUGGGUGGUGGCUGUGUGAUGUAUGCUGUGGAGCUGUUUGGAGGAUGUCC